rnacentral:sRNA from 1 species
UGGGGCCAAGGAAGAGAACCGGGGAAGGUAAGUAUCGACCAACAAUAUAACUACUUUGUUGUAUUACAUCGGUAAUAAUGAUCAAUCGUAAACAAACUGUCAUUCCCCAUCAACAACAGUACGGAGUACUACUACACAACAAGACGAGAUAGGGAAUAAAUGCCAAAAAAAAGGGGGGGAAUGAGAAAAAAAAAAAAACAAAACAAAAACAAAAACAAAAAUUCGAAGGAUUAAAUAACUCCAGUAGCCAUAAAAACUUUAUAUUAUUAAAUCCAUAUCCGCCAAGUUGAGAUAUCCGUUGAAAAUCCGCAUUUUCUUUGUGACACAUAAGCAAUGUGAUAAGAGGAAACAGCAAAAGCAAAACUCAACAAAGUGGCAUUAAAGGUAAAGGAGAGGAAAAGGAGAGGAAUGUUGACGUUCUAGAACAUUAGAACUCGACAGCAUGUUCCACGCCUGUUUCGCAC